UACGGGGGGAGCAAGCGUUGUUCGGAUUUACUGGGCGUAAAGGGCGCGUAGGCGGCCACCGCAAGUCAGUUGUGAAAUCUCUGGGCUUAACCCAGAAAGGUCAACUGAUACUGCGGGGCUAGAGUGCAGAAGGGGCAACUGGAAUUCUCGGUGUAGCGGUGAAAUGCGUAGAUAUCGUAAGGAACGCCAGUGGCGAAAGCGAGUCUCUGGGCAGCAUCUGACACUGAGGCACGAAGGCCAGGGGAGCAAACGGG
rnacentral:rRNA from 1 species